GACGAACGCUGGCGGCGUGCUUAACACAUGCAAGUCGAACGGAAAGGCCCUCACCUUUUUGGUGGGGGUGCUCGAGUGGCGAACGGGUGAGUAACACGUGGGUGAUCUGCCCUGUACUUCGGGAUAAGCUUGGGAAACUGGGUCUAAUACCGGAUAGGACCAUGGUUUAGUGUCUCAUGGUGGAAAGAUUAUUGUUUUGGCGCAGGAUGAGCUCGCGGCCUAUCAGCUUGUUGGUGGGGUAAUGGCCUACCAAGGCGUCGACGGGUAGCCGGCCUGAGAGGGUGGACGGCCACAUUGGGACUGAGAUACGGCCCAGACUCCUACGGGAGGCAGCAGUGGGGAAUAUUGCACAAUGGGCGCAAGCCUGAUGCAGCGACGCCGCGUGGGGGAUGACGGCCUUCGGGUUGUAAACUCCUUUCGUUAGGGACGAAGCCACACCUUUUUUUGGGUGUGGUGACGGUACCUUUGUUAAGAAGCACGGCUA
rnacentral:rRNA from 1 species